rnacentral:rRNA from 1 species
GACGGAGGGUGCAAGCGUUAUCCGGAGUCACUGGGUUUAAAGGGUGCGUAGGUGGGUUGCCAAGUCCGUGGUGAAAUCUCCGAGCUUAACUCGGAAACUGCCGUGGAUACUGGUAAUCUUGAAUAUCGUGGAGGUAAGCGGAAUAUGUCAUGUAGCGGUGAAAUGCUUAGAUAUGACAUAGAACACCGAUAGCGAAGGCAGCUUGCUGCACGAUUAUUGACACUGAGGCACGAAAGCGUGGGGAGCAAACAGG